AUUGAACGCUGGCGGCAUGCCUUACACAUGCAAGUCGAACGGCAGCACGGGAGCAAUCCUGGUGGCGAGUGGCGAACGGGUGAGUAAUAUAUCGGAACGUGCCCAGUCGUGGGGAUAACGUAGCGAAAGCUAUGCUAAUACCGCAUACGAUCUAUGGAUGAAAGCGGGGGAUCGCAAGACCUCGCGCGAUUGGAGCGGCCGAUAUCAGAUUAGGUAGUUGGUGAGGUAAAGGCUCACCAAGCCGACGAUCUGUAGCUGGUCUGAGAGGACGACCAGCCACACUGGGACUGAGACACGGCCCAGACUCCUAGGAGGCAGCAGUGGGGAAUUUUGGACGAA
rnacentral:rRNA from 1 species